rnacentral:rRNA from 1 species
GGCGGCGUGGAUAAGACAUGCAAGUCGAACGGGAGAAUUGCUAGCUUGCUAAUAAUUCUCUAGUGGCGCACGGGUGAGUAACACGUGAGUAACCUGCCUCUUAGUGGGGGAUAGCCCUGGGAAACCGGGAUUAAUACCGCAUACGAUUGAAAGAUCAAAGCAGCAAUGCGCUAGGAGAUGGGCUCGCGGCCUAUUAGUUAGUUGGUGAGGUAACGGCUCACCAAGGCGAUGACGGGUAGCCGGUCUGAGAGGAUGUCCGGCCACACUGGAACUGAGACACGGUCCAGACACCUACGGGUGGCAGCAGUCGAGAAUCAUUCACAAUGGGGGCAACCCUGAUGGUGCGACGCCGCGUGGGGGAAUGAAGGUCUUCGGAUUGUAAACCCCUGUCAUGUGGGAGCAAAUUAAAAAGAUAGUACCACAAGAGGAAGAGACGGCUAACUCUGUGCCAGCAGCUGCGGUAAUACAGAGGUCUCAAGCGUUGUUCGGAAUCACUGGGCGUAAAGCGUGCGUAGGCUGUUUCGUAAGUCGUGUGUGAAAGGCAGGGGCUCAACCCCUGGAUUGCACAUGAUACUGCGAGACUAGAGUAAUGGAGGGGGAACCGGAAUUCUCGGUGUAGCAGUGAAAUGCGUAGAUAUCGAGAGGAACACUCGUGGCGAAGGCGGGUUCCUGGACAUUAACUGACGCUGAGGCACGAAGGCCAGGGGAGCGAAAGGGAUUAGAUACCCCUGUAGUCCUGGCAGUAAACGGUGCACGCUUGGUGUGAGGGGAAUCGACCCCCUGCGUGCCGGAGCUAACGCGUUAAGCGUGCCGCCUGGGGAGUACGGUCGCAAGAUUAAAACUCAAAGAAAUUGACGGGGACCCGCACAAGCGGUGGAGUAUGUGGCUUAAUUCGAUGCAACGCGAAGAACCUUACCUGGGCUUGACAUGUAAUGAACAACAUGUGAAAGCAUGCGACUCUUCGGAGGCGUUACACAGGUGCUGCAUGGCCGUCGUCAGCUCGUGUCGUGAGAUGUUUGGUUAAGUCCAGCAACGAGCGCAACCCCUGUUGCCAGUUACCAGCACGUCAAGGUGGGGACUCUGGCGAGACUGCCCAGAUCAACUGGGAGGAAGGUGGGGACGACGUCAGGUCAGUAUGGCCCUUAUGCCCAGGGCUGCGCACGUACUACAAUGCCCAGUACAGAGGGGGCCGAAGCCGCGAGGCGGAGGAAAUCCUGAAAACUGGGCCCAGUUCGGACUGUAGGCUGCAACCCGCCUACACGAAGCCGGAAUCGCUAGUAAUGGCGCAUCAGCUACGGCGCCGUGAAUACGUUCCCGGGUCUUGUACACACCGCCCGUCACAUCAUGGAAGCCGGUCGCACCCGAAGUAUCUGAAGCCAACCGCAAGGAGGCAGGGUCCUAAGGUGAGACUGGUAACUGGGAUGAAGUCAUAA